ACAGACACGAUAGGAUUUCUUACAGGAUACUUCACUAAUUGGCAUAUAUGACAUCAACUACCGUCCGUUCUAGCUUCCAUUAUGACGUCGUGGAAUUUAGAAUAUGAUGUCACAUGUUAAUCAAGCAUCCUUCAGUCUUCAGUUAAGUCGUGUGGGUUUGACGCGAGGUGUUAGUUUAAGAAGAAUAUUAGUAGAGUUACUAGGCUUUAAUCGUGACAAAACGGCAAAGAUGUCUGCAUGUCGUUAAAAUAAUUUGACUGAUUUAAGUUGAGACACCAACGCUGCGUUUGUAUGGCAUCAACAGAGGGACAGGAGAGCUUCUGCUGUGCUACAGACAACGCAGCUAAAGUCUUGACAUUUCAAUGAGCCAAUGGCUGGACCCCUACGCUGCACCAUAACGGCUAAUUAAAUCUUCUUAAGAUGCCCUGGGAGAACAGACAAAAGCCGACAUAGAAGAACGGAAAGUGAGAAAGAGAAGAAACUUCUGGAACUAAAAGGGAUCCUGCUGUACUCACAGUGAACCUCCAACACCUCUGUGGUCUGCUGUGGCGUAGCUGUCAGGGCCACAUGGUCCACUUUACAGGUAUAAGCCACACCAUCAUCAUUUCUGUCCACCUGGAGCUUC